rnacentral:rRNA from 1 species
GAUGAACGCUGGCGGCGUGCCUAAUACAUGCAAGUAGAACGCUGAAGGAAGGAGCUUGCUCUUUCCGGAUGAGUUGCGAACGGGUGAGUAACGCGUAGGUAACCUGCCUGGUAGCGGGGGAUAACUAUUGGAAACGAUAGCUAAUACCGCAUAACAGUAGAUGUUGCAUGAUAUCUACUUAAAAGGUGCAAUUGCACCACUACCAGAUGGACCUGCGUUGUAUUAGCUAGUUGGUGAGGUAACGGCUCACCAAGGCGACGAUACAUAGCCGACCUGAGAGGGUGAUCGGCCACACUGGGACUGGGCCACGGCCCAGACUCCUACGGGAGGCAGCAGUAGGGAACCUUCGGCAAUGGACGGAAGUCUGACCGAGCAACGCCGCGUGAGUGGAGAAGGUUUUCGGAUCGUAAAGCUCUGUUGUAAGAGAAGAACGAGUGUGAGAGUGGAAAGUUCACACUGUGACGGUAUCUUACCAGAAAGGGACGGCUAACUACGUG